GGGACCCGUCUUGAAACACGGACCAAGGAGUCUAGCAUGUGCGCGAGUCAUUGGGAUAAUACGAAACCUAAAGGCGCAAUGAAAGUGAAGGUCCGCCUUGCGCGGACCGAGGGAGGAUGGACGGUCUCGAGGGGCCGUCUCGCACUCCCGGGGCGUCUCGUUCUCAUUGCGAGAAGAGGCGCACCCAGAGCGUACACGCUGGGACCCGAAAGAUGGUGAACUAUGCCUGGUCAGGACGAAGUCAGGGGAAACCCUGAUGGAGGUCCGUAGCGAUUCUGACGUGCAAAUCGAUCGUCGGAACUGGGUAUAGGGGCGAAAGACUAAUCGAACCAUCUAGUAGCUGGUUCCCUCCGAAGUUUCCCUCAGGAUAGCUGGCGCUCGCUUCUCGCGAGUCUCAUUCGGUAAAGCGAAUGAUUAGAGGCAUUGGGGUCGAAACGGCCUCAACCUAUUCUCAAACUUUAAAUGGGUGAGAUCUCCGGCUUGCUUGAACUGUGAAGCCGCGAGAUACGGAUCAGAGUGCCAAGUGGGCCACUUUUGGUAAGCAGAACUGGCGCUGUGGGAUGAACCAAACGCUGAGUUAAAGCGCCUAAAUCGACGCUUAUGGGAUACCAUGAAAGGCGUUGGUAACUUAAGACAGCAGGACGGUGGCCAUGGAAGUCGGAAUCCGCUAAGGAGUGUGUAAA
rnacentral:rRNA from 1 species